UACGUGGGGUGCGAGCGUUAAUCGGAAUUACUGGGCGUAAAGCGUGCGCAGGCGGUGAUGUAAGUCAGGUGUGAAAUCCCCGGGCUUAACCUGGGAACUGCAUUUGUGACUGCAUCGCUGGAGUGCGGCAGAGGGGGAUGGAAUUCCGCGUGUAGCAGUGAAAUGCGUAGAUAUGCGGAGGAACACCGAUGGCGAAGGCAAUCCCCUGGGCCUGAACUGACGCUCAUGCACGAAAGCGUGGGGAGCAAACAGG
rnacentral:rRNA from 1 species